rnacentral:rRNA from 1 species
GACGAACGCUGGCGGCGUGCCUAGUACAUGCAAGUCGAACGCAUUUUCUUUCACCGUAGCUUGCUACACCGACAGAAAAUGAGUGGCGAACGGGUGAGUAACACGUGGGUAACCUGCCCAUCAGCGGGGGAUAACACUUGGAAACAGGUGCUAAUACCGCAUAAUUCCAUUUACUGCAUGGUAGAUGGAUGAAAGGCGCUUUUGCGUCACUGAUGGAUGGACCCGCGGUGCAUUAGCUAGUUGGUGGGGUAACGGCCUACCAAGGCUGCGAUGCAUAGCCGACCUGAGAGGGUGAUCGGCCACACUGGGACUGAGACACGGCCCAGACUCCUACGGGAGGCAGCAGUAGGGAAUCUUCGGCAAUGGACGCAAGUCUGACCGAGCAACGCCGCGUGAGUGAAGAAGGUUUUCGGAUCGUAAAACUCUGUUGUUAGAAAAGAACAAGGAUGAGAGUGGAAAGUUCAUCCCUUGACGGUAUCUAACCAGAAAGCCACGGCUAACUACGUG